GAUGAACGCUGGCGGCGUGCCUAAUACAUGCAAGUCGAGCGAACAGAUAAGGAGCUUGCUCCUUUGACGUUAGCGGCGGACGGGUGAGUAACACGUGGGUAACCUACCUAUAAGACUGGGAUAACUUCGGGAAACCGGAGCUAAUACCGGAUAACAUUUGGAACCGCAUGGUUCUAAAGUGAAAGAUGGUUUUGCUAUCACUUAUAGAUGGACCCGCGCCGUAUUAGCUAGUUGGUAAGGUAACGGCUUACCAAGGCAACGAUACGUAGCCGACCUGAGAGGGUGAUCGGCCACACUGGAACUGAGACACGGUCCAGACUCCUACGGGAGGCAGCAGUAGGGAAUCUUCCGCAAUGGGCGAAAGCCUGACGGAGCAACGCCGCGUGAGUGAUGAAGGGUUUCGGCUCGUAAAACUCUGUUAUUAGGGAAGAACAAACGUGUAAGUAACUGUGCACGUCUUGACGGGACCUAAUCAGAAAGCCACGGCUAACUACGU
rnacentral:rRNA from 1 species